UGCUGUUAGAAGCAACCUUUGAUCAUUGGCUUUUUAUGGGCAUUUCUCAGGAAGCUCAUUCUCCAUGUGAGCCAAACCUUAAGGUCUUAGUUUUGGCCUGUGGGAUCUAGUUCCCCAACCAGGGAUGGAACCCGGGCCUCCUGCAUUGGGAACGCGGAGUCUCAGCCGCUGGACCGCCAGGGAAGCCCCAGAUAGGACAUCAGACUUCUCCAAGGAGUUCGAGAUAGGCUCAUCAUCACAGAUAAAGGCGAGGAACCUGCCCUUUAAAUAAACCUGCCAGAUUUGAUGUGUCUGAAUGAGCAUCCUCUUGUGGCAUCAGCGUGGCACUCUCCAGGCUUGUUCCAAAGGCAACUGUUUGCGGGUGUCAGUGUCAGAGUUUAUCUGAGCAAGGUGCUUAUAAGGAACAUGCUUUUGACCAAGGAACCUUGUUGGAGCACAGAAUCACAGCGGG
ensembl:lncRNA